rnacentral:misc_RNA from 1 species
UCUAAACGUAAGCCCAGCUGUAGAGAGAAAAAUGGCCCAAUCACUUGGCCCAACGACCUGUAGUUUAAUAGUCACAGGCUUUCCCUCAUUAGAAGUUCAGUCCCAAGUUCACCAUCCCAUCUCUUUCCCUUGAAUUCUCUCAAAUCCUCACCAACAAUUCCACCAACAGUGUUCUGGAAUCAAGUGCACUUGAAGAAUGCGCUCUCCACUGAGAACAUUUGAAUACUUCGAAUGUGGACAGACAUGCCUAUAUUUCCCUUGGCAAUCGUUGUUGUUCAAGUGAAACCCAUUAACUUUGGGGAAAGAAUGGCCAUGGAAGCAAAUUCCUCACUCUCAUGCCAUUUCUUCCUGUGUGAUUUGAGUCGCUUCAUCAAGUUCAGAAAACUCUUCAAGAUCAUGGAGGCAUUUGAAUGGGAACUAGCUCUUCUGCGUUUUCCAUCACUUGUGUCGAAAAUAACAGAUCAAGUCCAAUGGUAUCUUCAUUUGCUUCUUGAGAUAAAGAGAAAGGAUCCAUUCUAACGAAUGAAUCACCCCUAAUCAAUCUAUCAGUGGCUUUCUAUAGAUGGUAAGAGGGAAGUACAAAAACCUUGAACUAGAUGUGUGUGUGUGUGAUUAAGUUCCUCUUAUACUAAUUAGAUAUCAAAUGAAAGGUCACCGUUGUUAAAUUUAACCUUAUCUAUAAAUUUCGAAUUUCAAUUCAUAGUGCAAGGAGUAAGUUGAUAAAGAUAUUCGCAUAUGUGUGUCGGUCUCUCUCUCUAGUUGAUAGAGAGAAAAAGUUCUUUCUGGAUUGGGUUUAGUUUGUAAGACAGAAAGUUUCUUUCUUUGUCAGUGUUUACGGUCAUCCCCUGCCUCCGAACAUAGGUUUUCCUUCUACUCCUUUAGAUGGGACUGUACAUAUAUGUUUUGGGUUGUUUCUUGUUGCUUGCAGGUGGUGUUGCUCAUGGUGAAGGAAAUCUUGCAACCUGCACAGCUCUUUUUCGGUGCUUAAGUGUUUUUCCUUGUUUCUUAUGUGGCUACGGGCGUACGGCUUCAUCAGAGUCCUUACUCACCUUGUAGUGGCCGACUCUCAAU